rnacentral:misc_RNA from 1 species
GGCAUAAUAUUUUUUUUCCUAUCAAAACACAUUGAGUGUCAGGAAGGUAUUUUAGUCGAAGAUUAUGAUUUAAAUCAUAAUAUGGGGGAGAGUUUUUGACUUUUUGUUAUUCAUAUAAGAUUGAUGCUCAUUGUUCAGUUUAUCCCUGAAUUGACUAUAGCUUCAAUGCUACAGUGUAACGUGUUAUACAAAUUUACAUGUGUAUUUACAAUAAGAUUAUUUUCUUCUAUUUUCCUGUUUUUACUGUUAAGUGUUAGUAUUAAUUUUCUUUUUGUUUAGCUUGCAUAUCAUAAUGUUCAAUGGUAAUUACUAUGUAAAUAUUCAUUGUUUAUACAUUGUAAAUUGUAAAUCAUGUACAAUGCACUGAUAUGUGAUUCUGAGAUAAAACGUGUUCU